rnacentral:lncRNA from 1 species
AGCACUUUGGGAGGCCGAGGUGUGUGGAUCACCUGAGGUCAGGAGUUCGAGACCAGCCUGGCCAACAUGGUGAAACCCUGUCUCCACUAAAAAUACAAAAAUGAGCCAGGCAUAGUGGCAGGUGCCUGUAAUCCCAGCUACUCGGGACGCUGAGGCAGGAGAAUCAUUUGAACCUGGGAGAUGGAGGUUGCAGUGAGCUGUGAUGGCACCACUGUGCUCUAGCCCGGGCAACAGAGCAAGACUGUCUCAAAAAAAAAAAAAAAAAAAAAAAAAAGGUAUAUUAGUCAGGGUUCUCCAGAGAAACAGAACCAACAGGAUAUUAUAAGAGAGAUUUAUUAUAGGAAUUGAUCGUUUCUCGGCCUUGUGGCUAAGAUCAAGUGUAGAUUUAUUAUGGGAAUUGGCUCAUGCAGUUAUGGAGGCCAAGAAGUCCCAGGAUCUGCCAUCUGCAAGCUGAAAAACCAGGAAAGCUGGUGGUAUAAUUCAGUCUGAAUCUGAAGACUGAGGACCAGAGGCACAAUGAUGUAAGUCCCAGUCUAAGCCCAAAAGCAAGAGCUAGGAGCACUGACCUCCAAGGGCAAGAGAAAAUGGAUGUCAGCCCAGAAAGAGCAGAUUCGCCCCUCUUCCACCUUUUGUCCACUCAACAGUGGAUGAUACCCACUGACAGGGAGGAUCUUUUUCUAAUUUUUUUUUUUUUUUCUGAGACAGAGUCUCACUCUCUCGCCCAGGCUGGAGUGCAGUGGUGCAAUCUCCGCUCACUGCAAGCUCUGCCUCCCGGGUUCACGCCGUUCUUCUGCCUCAGCCCCCUGAGUAGCUGGGACUACAGGCACCCGCCACCAUGCCCAGCUAAUUUUUUGUAUUUUUAGUAGAGAUGGGGUUUCACCGUGUUAGCCAGGAUGGUCUCGAUCUCCUGACCUCGCGAUCCACCUGGGAGGAUCUUUUUCACUCAAUCUACCAACUCACAAUGCUAAUUUGUUCUGGAAACAUCAUCACAGGACUACCCAGGAACACUGUUUUGCCAGCUAUCUGGACAUCCCUUAGCUCAGUCAAACUGACACAUAAAAUUAACCAUCACACGACCAUCCUUUUUGAACUUGUCAUCCAUACACAUCUCCUUAAACCAUACUUAAUCUCCACAUGAAGACACAAGGUUUUUUUGGGUUUUUUGGAAACCAGAUCUUGCUCUGUUGCCCAGGCUGGAGUGCUGCAGCCUCAAUCUCCUGGGCUCAGGCGAUCUUCCUGCCUCAGCCUCCUGAGUAGCUGGGACUACAGGUGCAUACCACCACACCCAGGCUGGAGUGCAGUGGCACGAUCUCGGCUCACUGCAACCUCCACCUCCUGAGUUCAAGUGAUUCUCAUGCCUCAGCCUCCUGAGCAGCUGGGACUACAGGCACACACCACCAUUCCUAGCUAAUUUUUGUAUUUUUUAGUAGAGAUGGGGUUUCACCAUGUUGGCCAGGCUGGUCUCGAACUCCUGACCUCAAGUGAUCCACUUGCCUUAGCCUUGUAAAGUGCUAGGAUUACAGGCGUGAGCCCCGUGCCCGGCCAACAUUUUUUUUAAGAGACUCUUUUUUACUCACUCUACCGACUCACAGCACUAAUUUCUUCUGGAAACACCAUCACAGGCCUACCCAGGAACACUGUUUUGCCGGCUAUCUGGACAUCUCCUUAUGUUGCCCAGGCUGGUCUUGAACACCUGGCCUCAAGUGACCCUCCCACCUCAGCCUCCCAAAGCGUUGGGAUUACAGGCAUGAGCCACUGCACCCUGCCAAGACACAAGGUUUUCAUUCCACUGAACGUGUUACAACCAUCUGGUGUACAACUGGAUUUCUGUCUUAGUCCCUUGGGGCUGCUAUAAUAAAAUAUCAUAAACUGUUUAUCUUAUUUACAAGAGAAAUUUAUUUCUCCCACUUCUGGAAGCUGGGAAAUCCAAGAUCAAGGUGCCGACAGAUUCAGUGUCUGGUGAGGGCCCACUUUCUGGUUCAUAGACAGCAUCUUUUUGCUGUAAUCUCACAUGCUGGAAGGAGCAAGGGACCUCUCUUGGGUCUCUUUUAUUAAAGGACACUAAUCCCAUUCAUGAGGGUACUGCCUUGGGGAAUGCACCACUCUUUCAACUUCAAUCAAGUAUCUCCUGAGUUUGAGUGCUUGUUUUCGAAAGCGUGGUAGAAGUUUAUUUUUCUCCUUGGUCCUCUAGUAGCCAGGUUACAGCUAGGUCAUCUUGACUGUACCAUCUGCAGAGAGGAAGACUCACCUUCGUUAGGAUAGAAGCACCAGUGUCUAACUAGACAAGGACUAUGGACUUAGAAUGACAUCGAAUUUCCAGACCAAAACAUUUACCAGAGCAUUAUGGUGUUCAAGGCAUUGUGGGGACCCUGAGGGGGUGUAUGGAGGACUAUGAAGCAAUCCCAGCCCCCACAGGAAGCUUGCAAUUAUUUUGGAUGAUAGCCAUCCAUACAAGAUUGUGUCUGGGAGUGGUGGCUUACGCCUGUAAUCCCAGCACUUUGGAAGGCCAAGGUGGGCGGAUCACCUGAGGUCAGGAGUUCAAGACCAGCCUGGCCAACAUGGUGAAACCCCAUCUCUACUAAAAAUACAAAAU